rnacentral:rRNA from 1 species
AUACAGAGGCUGCAAGCGUUAAUCGGAAUUACUGGGCGUAAAGCGCGCGUAGGUGGUUAGUUAAGUUGGAUGUGAAAGCCCUGGGCUCAACCUGGGAAUGGCAUUCAAAACUGGCUGACUAGAGUAUGGUAGAGGGAAGGGGAAUUCCAGGUGUAGCGGUGAAAUGCGUAGAUAUCUGGAGGAACAUCAGUGGCGAAGGCGCCUUCCUGGACUAAUACUGACACUGAGGUGCGAAAGCGUGGGUAGCAAACAGGAUUAGAAACCCUAGUAGUCC